UUACCUUCUCAGCCUUUUGGCUAAGAUCAAGCGUAGCAUCUGUUCUUAUCAGUUUAAUACCUGAUACGUCCCCUACCCAGGGACCAUAUUAAAUUGAUUUUUGGAGCAGGGAGAUGGAAUAGGCGCUUGCUCCAUCCACUCCACGCAUCAACCUGGUAUUGCGGUACUUCAGAGAAUGGUGCACCCCCU